CGGGUGAGUAAUGCUUGGGAAUCUGGCUUAUGGAGGGGGAUAACUACGGGAAACUGUAGCUAAUACCGCGUAGUGUCGAGAGACGAAAGUGCGGGACCGCAAGGCCGCAUGCCAUGAGAUGAGCCCAAGUGGGAUUAGGUAGUUGGUGGGGUAAAGGCCUACCAAGCCUGCGAUCUCUAGCUGGUCUGAGAGGAUGGCCAGCCACACUGGAACUGAGACACGGUCCAG
rnacentral:rRNA from 1 species